CUAUCAGUGAUGGCUCCCCUCAAAAACAUUCCUUAGAAAGCUGAAUAUAAUGAGAAAAAAAUAAAUGUUGACUCCAGGUGG
rnacentral:snoRNA from 1 species